rnacentral:rRNA from 1 species
CAAUAGCGUAUAUUUAAGUUGUUGCAGUUAAAAAGCUCGUAGUUGGAUUUCGGAUGGGACUUGCCGGUCCGUCGUUUCGAUGUGCACUGGCCAGUCCUAUCUUGUUGUCGGGGACUAGCUCCUGGGCUUCACUGUCCGGGACUAGGAGCUGACGAGGUUACUUUGAGUAAAUUAGAGUGUUCAAAGCAAGCCUACGCUCUGAAUACAUUAGCAUGGAAUAACACGAUAGGACUCUGGCUUAUCUUGUUGGUCUGUGAGACCUGAGUAAUGAUUAAGAGGGACAGUCGGGGGCAUUCGUAUUUCAUUGUCAGAGGUGAAAUUCUUGGAUUUAUGAAAGACGAACUUCUGCGAAAGCAUUUGUCAAGGAUGUUUUCAUUAA